rnacentral:tRNA from 1 species
GCCUUCGUGAUCGGAAUGGUAGAGAUCCUGGUCUUAGGAACCAGCUGCUGAAAGGCGGCGGUUCAAAUCCGCCCGAAGGCACCA